CUAUCUUCCCUUUUCACCUAAGCGCACCCGAAUAUAGACGUUAGCAGUUGCGCAACCGCUUUGUUCCCCCUAAGGGUUCGAUGAAUAAUGAAGUCAUAACCACAAAACACUUCUCCUUUGAUCAGUCACGCACUCGCUGCGGUUCCUGCACACGGCGGCGGCAGGAAUCCCCGCAUUCCCAGAGUUUGUGACGGUGGUCCUGGUGGAUGGACAGCCUUUCUCCUACUAUGACAGCCAGCUGAGGAGGGAGCUUCCCAGGCAGAGCUGGACGCUCCAAGCCGAAGAGCCGGACUUCUGGGAGAGGCGCACAAAUAACUCCAUCGUUGAUGAGCAAGUCUUCAGAAGUAAAGUUGAGAUGAUUUCAAUGAUAGUUCAAUAGUUCAAUGACCUACAUGCAGCUCUCCUCGCCAGAAAUACUCGGCUCCCGACUCUGUUAAUGACGAUUUGGUCCUUCGAGCCGGAUUCCAGCAUUCUUUGGGGGAUUUCCAGUCGGAGAGUCCGUGGCCACGGUCGGUGAACCUUUCAGGAAGGAGGUUUGGUGGUUCUGAGGUCAAGACAAUAAUUUAUUGAAGACUGCAAGAGCAUAAGCAGGAACAGGUGAGUCAGUGUAGUGAUCUCCUCCAGCCACCAGGAGGUGCAGAACUCUGUGGAGUGGGAACAGGAUGAGGCAACAGGAAACACAGCAGCGAAGGGAGGAGGAGGGGUUAUGUAGUCCUGGCUGUAAGACUGAGACGUUCUGGCAAGGCUUGAGGGGGUGGA